CCAAUAGCGUAUAUUAAAGUUGUUGCAGUUAAAAAGCUCGUAGUUGAAUUUUGGGUCUGGCCGGGCGGUCCGCCCUCCGGGUGAGUACUGUUCCGACGCCGGGCCUAUCCUUCUGGAGAGUCAGCAUGUCCUUUAUUGGGUGUGCCGGGGAACCAGGACCAUUACCUUGAAAAAAUUAGAGUGUUCAAAGCAGGCGUAUGCUCGGAUACAUUAGCAUGGAAUAAUGAAAUAGGACGCGUGGUGCUAUUUUGUUGGUUUCUAGAACCGCCGUAAUGAUUAAUAGGGAUAGUUGGGGGCAUUAGUAUUCAAUUGUCAGAGGUGAAAUUCUUGGAUUUAUUGAAGACUAACUUCUGCGAAAGCAUUUGCCAAGGAUGUUUUCAUUAAUCAAGAACGAAAGUUAGGGGAUCGAAGACGAUCAGAUACCGUCGUAGUCUUAACCAUAAACUAUGCCGACUAGGAAUCGGGCGAUGUUAUUCUCAUGACUCGCCCGGCGCCUUAUG
rnacentral:rRNA from 1 species